AAUUUAUAUAAACAGAAAAUUUCUUGAUAUGUGUGUGUGUGUGUGUGUGUGUGUUGUGUAACAUUUUAUUCUUAUUUUUGGCAAAAUAAGUUUUAGAAAAAAGUUAGUUUUACAAAGUAAGUUUUAUAAAGUUUUGCGAAUAUAUGUUAUCUUUUCUUUUUCCUUUGUAGUGUGAACAAAGGCAGUGAUUAUUAUUGAAUAAAUCUUAGAAAAUCUUUCGGAAAGAUUUAGAAAACAUUAGAUUUGGUGGUACAAAUAUAAAACUAUCAAAUCAAUGUUAAUAGAAACAGAUGACAUCAGCGGAACCUGUGGGUAAAGAUAAAGCUACAGUACUGGGACCCUCAAGAUACUCAUACUAAAAUUUCAAGUCGAUUGGUUCAGUAGUUUUAAAGAUCCUAGGUAACAAAGGAAAAUAUGACUUUUCUUUAUAUAAUAGUAAGAUAGAGCUUCAAAUGCACAGUUUCUUCUGAAAUGAAUUUAUAUGUAGUUAUAAAAUACUUGAUGAAAUGGAAGAACUUGUUAACAACAUGCGAACUCCAAAGAGAUCGACUUACUUCCAUCUCAAAAGGGAAUCUUAUUGAGUAACCGUUCAUUAUGGCAAUUACUUCAGUACGUGAAGAAAAAAAUAUUCGACGGAUGCAUUAACGAUCGAUUUCAUCAUUACAAGAAGACUAAAUCAGGACAUCCUCGAGAACUUCGUUUCAUAUAUAAGGGUUAUGGCUAUGGGGCAUGCAAAUGAUCAUCCUUCGCCAGUGGAAUUGCAAAACCGUUUAAAAUGGUAUAUUCUGGGCAUGCUUUAUCAAAUGCAACAAAUACGGAAAAUGAUCUGAUGUCGGUUACCUUCAUGGAUAUGGAAGACGACAUGUAUGUACAUACACGAAAAUACUUCUAGGACAUCUGACUGCUCAGACAUUCAAUAUAAUGAUAAUCUCGCA